CACGGGGGUUGCGAGCGUUGUCCGGAAUUACUAGGCGUAAAGGGCAGGCAGGCGGAUCCAUAAGUUUAUCGUUUAAGGCGUCGGCUUAACCGGCGUAGGGCGGUAGAUACUGUGGAUCUGGAAUGCGGUUGGGGAAGACAGAAUUCCUGGUGUAGCGGUGGAAUGCGCAGAGAUCAGGAGGAAUACCGAAGGCGAAGGCAGUCUUCCAAGCCGUUAUUGACGCUCAACUGCGAAGGUGUGGGUAUCAAACAGGAUUAGAUACCAUGGUAGUCCCU
rnacentral:rRNA from 1 species